rnacentral:piRNA from 1 species
UGCACACCGAUGGGGACGUCUGUCCUGUGGCC